GUAGGUGUAUCUUCUAAUUCAUCUUCUCCCGAACCAACUUCUACUUCUUCACCUGAAUUUUCAUCAAGAUAAGGAUUAUCACCAUAAAAUUCGUUGUAAAAUUUCAUGAUCAAGUUGAACAUUUGAAUCAAUAUCAUAAGAAGUAUCAUCAACAUAAGUAGAAUCAUUUAUAUUAAAAUCUAACUCUAGACAUUGAUUUAGAAGAAGUACCACCACAUUUACUCUUAUUUUUUUCCUUACUACUUUUUUUUAUUAAAAUUAAAUAAUUUAUUAAUGCCGCUUGGUUCUUUCUCUUUUCCUUUACCGGUAUCUUUUUUGCUAGAACUCAUAUUUAAUUAUAUGUAAAGUGUAAUAUAAAAAUAAUAAUAACACAAAAAUUAAUGACGAAAAAUAAAAUAUAAAUAUUAUGAAACGAAUGUACCAAACGUCUGCGUUAAUAGCAGACGUUAUAACCGAAUAACCGAUUCUUGAAGCUUGUAGUUUGUUGUAACUUGUAAUUUGGAACUCCAAUACUUGAUAGCAAUUAUGAGAAUUAUAUAUAUUAUGAUAUAAUAUGAAAAUUUUGAAUUGAAAUCUAUGUAUUAUGAUAUAAUAUGAGACUUAAAUGGAAUAAAAAUUGAGACUUAAGAUUGAGAGGAUAUAGAAAAUAGAUGAGAGAAUAGAGGAUUUUGUAAGAAAUAAUAAGGGAUAGGGGGUAUUUAUAAUAUUAAAAAUGGGUUAAAGUGUAUUUAUGAUAACUUGAUGGUUUAAAUUAAAGUAUUAAAAGUAAGGGGGUGGUAGGGGGUGUUGGGGAAGUGAAAAAGGUGAAUAAAUCCAUUGGGGGGCCCACUAGUCAUUGCCCCAACGGAUAUAAUUUUUUUUAAAAAAAUUAAGGGAUCCCGCGAAACCGGCCGGUUCAGCCGGGCCGGGUCGACCGGGACCAAAGGGUGAACCGGCCCCUAAUCGGUCCCCUAUCCCUCCCAAACCGCGAGAAGUGACGGGACCGGGUCUGACGAGCCGAUUCUCGAACCGGUCGCAGGCCGGGGCGGCCCGACCCAGUCCCCCUGCCAGCCCUAGCUAAGGCGAAGGCUGUGCUUAAUUACUGCAACUUGGUGUUCGAGAGAAAUCGAGUUGAUUCGGGGUAAGUUGUUCGAGAGAAAAUUUACCCCACUAAAGUCUAGCUUAGUUACAAAUACUCAGCGAUUUACUAUCAAUAGCAUUUACCCUAUUGUUUAUUUUAUCAAGUCUCCAUAUUUCGCAUCGUUAUUUUUGUUGUUUUUGUUUCUUAGUAGAAUUGUAACCCCCCAUUGAUAAUUGACAUUCGUGUCACCUUUAGAUUUAGUAUGUUUUUAUUCAUAAAUAUUUAUAACCAUGAUUGAUUAGAACAUAAUUUUACUUUUCUAUUUGAUUCUCGACUACUAACCGCUCCAUUGGGACUCGAUCCCAACUUAUUCAGUUGGGUUAUAUUACUACACGCGAUCGUUGACACUUGAUUUAAAAGUCGUUUCUUUGAUUACGUCAAACAUCAAUCAGUGAUAUUUGACUUACUAUGAAUAGAAUGACCGAACAAGCUUUUUUGUGUCGAUUUAGGUUUCAUACAUGUAGAGUGGUUGGUUGUGAUUUAUAUCUAGGAGAUAGUGUAUUUGCAUGAUGUGUUCAUAUCUAUUAUUUCAUAUUGAGAUAAUUCGUUCACAUUAAAAUUUUGAAAGUCCAUGCAGUAGAAAUUGGGUAUUAGGAUGAAGCUUAGCACAACUUUUCAUCCACAUAUAGAUGGUCAGUCUGAGCAGACUACUCAGGUGUUAAAGGAUAUUUUACCGAUGUGCAUGAUCAAUUCGAGAGUUCAUUAGGACUAAUUCAUGUCAUUAGUGGAGUUGCUUAUAGCAAUAGUUGUCAUUAUAACAUUUAGGUGGCCCCGUUUGUAUGGUAGAAAAUGUCGCCUUCUAAUGGAUUGGUUAGAUGUUUUUGAGGUCAGAUCUUGGAGUAUAGAUUUGUUGAGAGAUUCGUUAGAUAAGGUCAAGUUAAUUCAUGAUAUAUUUCUCACAGCCCAGUGUAAAAAAAAGAGUUAUGCAGAUCGAAAGGUUCGUGAUUUGGAGUUCAUGAUUUGAGAGAAGAUCUUGUUAAAAGUAUUUCCCAUGAGAGUUUUUAUGAGAGUUGGGAAGAAGAGAAAACUUAACCUUAAAUUCAUUAAUCCGUGUGAGGUACUUCUACAUUUUGGAGAAAUGACUUAUGAAUUGGAUAUGCCGCUAGACUUAUGAGGUGUUCAUCUGAUUUUCCAUGCUUUGAUGUUGAAGAAGUAUUGUGUUAAUGGUUGUCAUGCGAUUCAGUGUGACUCAAUAUAAUUCGACCAAGAAAUUGGUAUUUGAGGAAGGUCCAAGAGUUAUUAUGGAUAGGCAGGUUAGAAAUCCACUUGGAAGGUUAAGCCAAACAUACAAAGCAAAUAUUCUCAACUAUUUGAUAAUACAUGUACUUUCUUUCUCUUUACAUUCGAGGAUGAACGUGUGUUUUAGUGGUGGAUAAUGUAACGACCCUCUUAGUCGUUUUAUAAAUUUUGUUCAUUAUUCUGAGUUUAAACCUUUUAGUAACUUUUAUAAAUAAUUUAGGCAGAAUGACCUGGAAGACUCUUAUACUUGGCUCCGUUUGUCACCUAGACCAUUCUACUCACGACUUUGCCAACUGAACACUUAAAGUUAUUAAAGCACACUAUUUUAAACCCAUUUGACCGUUGACUAAGCUUAUGUGGUGUUUUUUUGCUGAAUCAGAUCAAGAGAGUGGUUACAGGCAUUUAAAAGCAAGUGAAGACAACUAUUUUUAAAAAAAUUAAAAAAGAAAUAAAAGAAAAAUAUAACAAUUAAAAAAAAAAACUUUCCCAAUAUGUUGUACGUUUCUUCUUCUUCCUCCUCAUAAUUUCACCCAACCCCACCAUCACCACACACACAUCUUCUUCAAUCUCUUCCAAUACUCGUACCCACAAUUCUUCCUCUUUCUCUUCUCAUAUGCUACCUAUCAUUUGAGUUUUCUAUAAUGAUUGAGAAAAAGAUAUUUAUUUAGAUUUGGGUAAAAGAGAGGAGGGAAAAAGAUGUUCUAAAUUGUGAAAUAGAUGCGGAUUUUAGAUGGGUUUUUAGAAAGACAUGUUUGAGAUUCUUUCUAAAUGUAAGACAAUUUUAUUGAGAGCAUUUUUUGAAGAGUUUUCUAUAAUGACCCAUUUUUGGUCUUAUUCUCUUCUUUCUCUCUUCCUCCAUUUGAGUCACUUUAUUUAUCAUCACCAUUAAAAUAACAAAAUUUAUAAUAAAAAACAUAACAAGGCUUUAGCUUAUCUCUAAUUCCUCUUCAACGUAAAAAUUCACUAGGAAAGAAAAAAAUGAAUGAUUAGUAGCAAAAUAGAUGGAAAAUAUAGGAAGAGAAGAAAAAAUGGAAAGAAAGGAUUUUGGAGAUUAGUUUGAGAUUUCUUUUUAAAAAUAUUAUUUGUAAUAAAAAAAUGAUGUGGCAAUAUAUUUCUGAUGUGGAUAGUGAGGUGUUAUCCACAUCAGCGCGAUUGGGAGACACAUGAUCAGAGGGGUUUAAAAUACUGUGUUUUAAUAACUUUAAGUAUUCAAUUGGCAAAAUUGUGAGUAGAAGGGUUCCGAUGACAAACGGAGUCAAGUAUAAGGGUCUUUCAGGUCAUUCAACCAAUAAUUUAUUACUUGUGAGAAUGAGUGAUAUAAUUUUCAAAUUUAAUAAUAGAUUAUUUUGUUGCUAAUAAUAAAAGAAAUAAAAAAAGGAGUAAAAUAGGUCAAGCCCAAAAGACAAAAACAAAUAAUAAUAAAAUAAGCAUUUGACAAAUAAAUAAAUAAAUAAUAAAAGAAAAAAAGUGGGGCAAGUGCCCAAAAUUAAAAGAGAAAGAAAAGGGCAAGACGUUGGCUGGGCAGCAGCAGUACACACAGUAACAAGGAAAAAUACGCAGUGCAAUAAAAGGAAAGAAGGGAGAACAAAAAGGAAAAAGGAGGAGAAAAUUGGGAUUUUCAUUCUAAAGCGUUAAGGUAAUGAUUCUCGUCCUUUUCAUUAAAUUUUUAUGUGAUUAUGAAUAAAUUUUUAGUGUAGAAACGUGUAUAAUUUAUACUGAUUUAAAAAAAUGUAGGUCUAAGAUUCUUUAAACAAAAUCUUGAUUUAGGGGUCAAAUAAUGAUCCGUUUUAGAUGAAAUUUUGUAUGCGAGUUUGUUUUAUCAUGGGUAAACAUAGUCUGAAAGAAAAUUCAUAUUCAAAUUUUGUGGCUCGGGAUGACUUUUUAACCCAAAUUUCGAGCCGAAACUAAAUAUAGUAAUAUGGGUGCCAUUAGAUUCAUAUUCUUAUGAGGCUUAUAAAUUUGAUAGAUUUGAAGCUUUAUGAAAGGAGAAGACUCAAGUCCUGAAGUAAUUACUCGAUUAUUUGAGGCAGGUGGAUUUCCCAACCCUUGUUAAGUGUAUAUAAUUGUGUAUUUCCUUGUGGUAUGUGUUGGAAGUAAUGGGACUUGGUGAUGGAUUGACUUGUUCAUAUUGAAUGACUCUAAUAAGGAAAAAGGUCGGGGUAGUAAAAAGACAACUUGAUUGUAUAUUGAUGUGAUGUGUUAGGAAUGAUAUGAAAGUUUAAUUGAUUUAUUGUUGAUGUUAUAUCACGAUUGUGUUGUUGUGAAUUUCUCAUUGAUAUAAAAAUGGCCAUCUCCUUAUUAUUUAUGAACAUAUCAUUUGCAUUGGUUUUGAGACAUUGUUGUGACAAGUGUCAUGUGAAUUGAGGAAGGAUAAGAAAUUAAAGAAGAUGUACCAUUUCGGGGGACGUGUCGCGCACUGCGUUGGAUACUAUAUUUCGAGGGAAGUAUCACAUGCCACGAUAGAUUCUAUUACCGAGGGAUGUGUCGCACGCAGAGAUGGAUUUUAUUAUUGAGGGUCGUGUCGCACGCCGCGACGGAUGCAUGGACAGAUAUUAGGUUUUGGGGGUAUAUUUAAGUUAAUUGUGAAUUUCUGCAUUCAUCGUAUUAUUUGGGUUUUAUGUUGACUUGUCUUGGUGGGAUAAGACGAGUGUCAUCACAUCCAUUUUAGGGUUGUGACAGUUCCGGCCUGUUGGGAACAUCAAAAUAGCAUUUAUCAAAAGUUGACCAUGAUCAAACUUAGCUUAUUAAAACUCAAGAACUCAAUCAAUGACUUAAUUCGCUCUUGAACACCUAAGGAUCCAUACUAUUCAUCCAUGUAAGUCAUAAAUCACAUAUAAAAAUUACAUGGAGUGUUAAAAUGGACAAAUCAAGUAAAAUUCAUAAAACGGCUAAGAGGAUCAUUACAAUCAUGAAAUGCAUGCUUGACAAAAAGAUUAAUAUUAUAAAUAAAAUGUCAUAAAUUAUUAAAAUGCUUGAUAAAAAAGAUAAUCUAUCACGUCUAACUAAAAAAUAAAUGACUUGCAAUGUGAAGUCUCAAGUCAAUACUACUAAAACAAAUGAAAUUGAAAAUAUAAGAUAAGUUUUAAAUUCAAAACAAAAAAUUAACAUAAUACUCUUAUGUCAAAUUUCAACAAAACAUACAUAAAGAUGAUUUAAAAGAGAAGAAAAAUGUAAGUUUAUAACCUUACUCAACAAUGAAUUCUCCUUUAAUUUAAAAAUUAGUAUAUCAACAGAAUUAUGCUAAUAAAAAAAUAUUGGUGUAAUAUACCGCAAAUAAAAUAAAUUACAGUUGAAACUAAAAUGAACAAAAAAUGAAUAAAAAAGUAUUCAGGUUGAGGCACAGCUAUUUUGCUCUCAUUAAGGAGAUUCAAGCCCACUUCGACAUAAUCUACACUGAUCCAACAGUAUCACUCUUGACUUUCCCCCUCUGGGAUACAACAACCAACAACGUCGUACAACUCAAGCAACUCCGGAUUAGUUAAAGAGUCCAAGGCUCCACAAAAAGAGCACUUUUUUCAACAUAUAAAUACUCUCUUUUGUAUAAUGAAUACAGUUGUAGACUUCAAAUAUUUUCUUUUUCUCAACUCUCUCUUUCACUAUUAUACACUAUAAUGUUUCUCUAUACUUAUCAUCUUUCUUGCACUCUUUCACAUCUAUCUCUUGAUAUAGUCAACCCAAAGUAAGACCACACUAUUUAUAGGUGAUGAAUUCUUCCUUGCAAAUAAUAGGAAGAUAAUGGGUAGUAAAUUGGAUAAGUAAAUGACCAAUAGGUUACAUAAGUUACAAUAAUGGGUGAAAUGAAGAGUUGGUGGUUACAAAAGUUACUAUAACUAAUGACUACAUUCUUCCACAAUUGAUGAGAGUAAAGAGACACAAAUAUAAUGUCCACCAAUAGACAUAACAUGAUACAUAAUGUGACAUAUAGUAUAUUUUUAAUAAUAUUAAAAUGUCCACCCAAAAAAAAUAAACAUGGCAUAAAAAUAUAUAAUACAAAAAAUUACACACAAUCAGAUGAAGUGAAUGUUGAGAAUGAGAAGGAGAUGAAAUAUAAAAAAUAAAAAAUAAAAAAUAAACUUUUAAAUUUUUUAAAAUAAUAAUAAUAAAAAAGAAUUUAAAAUAAUAGAUAUAAAAAAUAAAUUAAAACGAAAAAUUAAAAAUAGAAAUAAAAAAGAAGAAAUUAAAAAGUACACAACUUGUAAUUACACCAUGUAAUUACCAGUAAUUCAUAACCCCUCCUUGAGAAUUAGAUAGUGUAAUCACCCUCUGCUAAUUACACAAUUACCUGUUGACCAAGUAAUUACAUGGCCAACCAAACACGCUAGACAUUGUAUUUACACCCAAUUACACCAAAUCCAAUUAAUAUGUUCAUUGAAAAAUAAUAGAAAUAAUAAUAAUAAAAAAAUAAUAUGUUCAUUGAAUGGAGGGUAAAAUAAUUGGUAUUUACACCCAAUUACACCAAAUCCAAUUACACGCUAGAUAUGUAAAAUAAUAUGUUCAUUGAAAAAUAAUAGAAAUAAUAAUAAUAAAAAAAAAAAAGUAAAAUAGAGAGUAUGAAUAGUAGUUCUCCAAAUUUGGAGAACUAUUAUUCACAUAUCUAUAAAUAGGAAUAGAGAGUAAUAUAAAGAUGAGUUGGAGAGGAUAUUCUCUAUUUUUACACUUCAAAUAUAGAGAAUGGAGGGUAAAAUAGAGAUGGGUUGGAGAUGGUCUUACAUAUCUCCUCUCGUCCUCUCUCUCGCCUCUCUUUGAAAUCUCGCUUUCCUCUCUCCUCUUUUUCAAUCAUUUCUCCCUUGCGUCUCUCCUCUCCCUGCGUAGUCUCUCUCGCUUAUUUCUGCCAGAAAUUAUACAAAUACAAAUGUUAACAGUCGUUUAUACAAACACAAAUGAUAAGAAUCAAUUUGUUUAUACAAAACACAAAUGAUAACAAUCGAUUAUACAAAUACAAAUUGUAAGUGUCAACUAUACAAAUGUCUUUAGUGAUACAAAUACAAAUACACAUUUAUUCGUUGAUAAAAACAUUGAUACAAAUGAUGACAAAUAAAUUAUACAUAUACAAAUACAAAUUGAUUUGACUGUAUACAAUUUAUUCAUUGAUACAAUUUGUAUUCGCUAAUAUUAUGGUAUUCAUUGAUACAUAUACAUACUAAUUAUAUAUAUACAAUUAUGCAAAUAUACAAAUACAAUCAUUAAUACAUAUAUGCAUAUACCAAUUAUAUAUAUAUAAUUAUCUGAUAGAUAUACAAAUACAAUUCGCCUCUCUCUACUCUCUACCCUCUCCCGCUCACCUCUCUCCUCCCUCUCCAAUCUCACUCUCCCAAUCUCCCUCGCCUCUCUCCUCCUCUAACACGUAGUUACAAAUCGUAAUUAGCAAACUAUAGCUAUUUUUGCCUAAUCAUGUUUCAAGUCUUGGCUCUUUUUGAGCAAUUUGUCCAUCCUAUUAUUAUUGAUGUGACACAAGUGUGCAACACACAUACUCUACACUAGUAUAUAAUAUGCUUUUCAACUUGUUUUCAUUGAUAUUUAGGUCUUUUAAUUUUGGGUGUGCACAAGUAGACAUUUAACUUAUAUAAAAUUAAAUAAAUAGACACAUACAUUUUUCCUACAUGACAAUUUACUUGAAAUACAACUGAAUUGAUUUGUAUUAUGCCAUGUAGAACACACACACACACACACACAUAUAUAUAUAUAUAUAUAUAUAUGUCAUUAGGAUGCAUGUGUCUAGGGGUGACAAUUGGACGGGUUGAGUCAAAUUUGAACGGGUCAUAAUGGACUAGGACAACAAAUGGGUUAAGACCCAAUCCAACCCAAUUUUGCUUGGAUCAAAAUAGAUUGGGUUAAAACGGGUCAAGCAAUGGGGGAUAGAUCCAGAUAAGAUUUAAUGUAACUCAACCCAACCCAAUCUUUACUAACAACAACAAACAAUAUACCCGGUGAAAUCCAACUAAGUGAGGUCUAGAUAGGGUAUAGUAUAUGCAAAUCUUAUCAAUUUUUACUAUGUUUAAUUAUUUUAUUUAUUCUUCCAAAAUAUUUUAAUACCUAAUAAAUUUAUUCUUUCUUUAUUAUGACUAUAUAUAACAUAUCAAAUUAAAAACCAAGUUUAUUAAAAAUAUUUUGAUAGGAUUUCUAAUGAGUCAAUUUGGGUUAUUCUAUUUUGCAUGUACUCAAAGACUAACAUACUCAAAUUUUUAGAACAUACCAAGUGUGGCACGAGGCAUCAUCAAUACAGAUAAAGAAAAAACUUCCUAGCCUUAGGAUAAAAAGAUAUCAAAAUUGAGACUUUGCUAACCAUGAUCAUACGCAGAGAAGAUAACAUGAAAAUAUACAUUAUAAUAGAGCAUUCAUAUAGUUGGCAUUUGAACAUUCAAGUAGAUGCAUUAGUGAUAAUAAGUGAGAAUAAUAGACUACCUAUUUUUUUUGAAUUUCAAGCAGUGGUAUCAGCUAUUUAAGCUUAAUCUGUUGAGAGUCGAGGAGGAUGGCGAAACAUUGUUCUGGAAAAAUGGAUGGAUGAGGGCAUGAAAACAAUCAAAAGGAAAUCAACAAGGGCGAAAUGGAUCGAGAGGAACAAAUACUUAUCCUGUUGGAAAUCUCGGCAUAAGCAAGUAUUGGAGUGGCAUGCUUGCAGCUGAAGCUUUGGUACUGGAAUCGAUACUCAUAAGAGAAAGAAGAUGGAGAUUAACCACCAGUUCUUUGAUUAAUGGACAACAAAAACUUCAUAAUCAUCUAUGGAACUCACCAGAUCUGCUGUUGUUGAGUGGAAGAAGUCUUCAUUAAGAUUGUUUUUAUGGCAUUCGUGAGAUUUGGAAUGUCUUAGGUGAAAACACCUUAAGCUCGACAACUUCUAGGUUAUGGAGUGGAGUUGGAUACUGAAUUUGAAGACUUUGAUGUCUCUCCAGCUCAUCGACGUUUCUCUCAAUCGAUCCAUGGUUGCUUCGUUUGUACUCUGAGGAAGGAGAUGAGACUUUUUUCCCUUCCCCCUUUUACUUUGAUGUCCGGACAUUUCAGGUCUUGGACUUCUUUUGUUUCCUUUUUGUAUU
rnacentral:lncRNA from 1 species